rnacentral:lncRNA from 1 species
AUGAGGCGCAGCAUCUGGCGGGCUCCUUCCCGGAAGCGGAAGCUCGAGGGGCGGGCCAAGGGCGGCCGGGAGUCGGCGGCGGUUAAUUCCUUUUAUCUUGCGGCUUUGUUUCACUCCGUUUGGACUUUUCUGAAGCUGCGAGAGAUGGUCAGGUCUGGAUCUCGACCGGGCCAGGUAAUACCUUCAGGAAAGCACACUGGACCUGCUAAAUUAACAAAUGGAAGAAAAGGGACCAAUUUGAGAAAGAUACCCCGUUUUAAUGCAGAUUCUGGCUAUCCCACUCACUCUGAUUCAGAAAGUCAGACUGACACUGUACAGGGGCUUGAUGGCUGUGCGUCUUUGCUGCGGGACAUUUUGAGAAAUGAAGAUUCAGGUUCAGAAAUAACAUAUUCAGAAAAUAGAUAUAACCCCAGACCUGUAGAAACCAAAAGAUACAGAUCCAAAAAGAAAGGACGGGAAAAACACACUGUGCCUUCUGUAGUCCGGAAGGAAAUUUUAUCUUCAGAUAAUAAGAAGCGGAUACCUAAUGAUGCUUCUGUUGGAAGUGAAAGAGACUCAUCAGAUAUACUGCAAAAUUGGUCACUACAAGACCAUUGUGGAAUGUAUUCACCCUUAAUAUACCAAGCUCUUUGCGAACAUGUGCAGACUCAAAUGUCACUGAUGAAUAACUUGGCUUCAAAGAACAACCCUAAUGGAAUUCCUACUGCAUCUUGCCACACUGUGUCUGGUUCUGAAUCUCAGACGUCUUCACCUUCUAGUUAUGGUUUACGCACCUCUAUCCCAGUCCGGUUACCUCAGCAGCCACCUUGCCCUCCAAUGGUUCAUUCUGAAGUUCAGACUGAUGGUGACAGUCAGCUUGCAUCACAAGGAAGAACAAUUUCUGUGAACUGUACUGAUGAUGUUGUAAGGAAUUCCUUCAAUACCUGUCUUGGAGUUUCAUGUAACCUGCCCCAAACUGGCAAACCAGCUACUCCAACGUUUCAGCAACUGGGUCUUGCUAAUGGGGUUCCGCCGAAAAGACUUUCUGAGGAACCAGACUUACUGAAGUGUUUCCAAACAUACAUGAAACUGUUGCGUUCUCAUCCUGACAGUCCCACUGGCCGCAGCCCCACCCUAUUACAGCCAGCUUUCUUGGCUACUAAUGAAGAAAAAUGUGCUAACGAACACAUUGGUGAGGUCAGAAGUGAAGGAAAGGAUUUAAACAUACCUCUGCGAGAUUCAAGAAUAAAGGAUGUGCAGAAGGCAAAAAACGUGAACCAGAGUGCUGAGAAAGUUAGAACUAUCAAGUAUCUGUUGGGAGAGCUCAAGGUCCUGGUAGCAGAACAAGAAGAUUCAGAAAUUCAGAGGUUGAUUACAGAACUGGAGAUGUGUAUAUCUCUGCUUCCAGCCGUAAGUGCAAACACAAAUAUUCAGGUUGAAAUAGCACUGGCCGUGCAGCCACUAAGAAGUGAAAAUGCUCAUUUACGCAGGCAAUUGAGAAUUUUGAACCAGCAACUUAGAGAACGAGAAAAAACUCAAAAGGCAUCUGGUUCUCUGGAAUGCAACCUUGAAUUGUUUUCUCUUCAAUCAUUGAACAAGUCACUGCAAAAUCAAUUACAGGAGUCAUUAAAGAGCCAGGAAUUAUUGCAGAGUAAAAAUGAAGAGCUCUUAAAAGUGAUAGAAAAUCAGAAAGAUGAAAACAAAAAAAUUGCUGGUAUAUUUAAAGAGAAAGAUCAAACUUUACUUGAAAAUAAACAGCAAUUUGACAUUGAGACAACAAGAAUGAAAAUUGAAUUGGAGGAAGCCUUAGUCAAUGUGAAAAGCUCCCAGUUUAAGUUAGAAGCUGCUGAAAAGGAAAAUCAAAUAUUGGGAAUAACAUUACGCCAGCGUGAUGCCGAGGUGACUCGACUGAGAGAAUUAACCAGAACUUUACAGAGCAGUAUGGCAAAGCUUCUCUCAGAUCUUAGUAUGGACACUGCUCGCUGCAAGCCUGGGAAUAAUCUUACCAAAUCACUUCUGAACAUUUAUGAAAAGCAACAUCAACAUGACCCGAUCCCUGCUCACACUUCCAUAAUGAGCUACCUAAGUAAGUUAGAGCCAGAUCACACUCUUAUUACACAUCCAGAGCCUCUUUCUACAGUUGCCAAUGAGGAAAACAUGGUGCCAGAUAGACCUUAUGAAAAUGUCCUGCCCUCCAAAGGCCCUCAGCACAGUAAUACUAGGAAUAUGGAGGAGGUAUCAGCCCCUGGAAUUGUUCCUGCCCUUUCAAAACAGGAUUCUGAUGAGGCAAGUGAAAUUACGACCUUAGUAGAAGAUGAGCAUAAUUUGGAUAAAACAAUUUACAUUCCAUUUGCUAGAAGCACUCCUAAAAAGAAAUCGCCACUGUCUAAGAGAUUAUCCCCCCAGGCCCAGAUCAGUGUAGCUCCACCGCAACCGGUCAGUGGACUUGUUGCUGAAAAAGAAAAUACACUGUGUGCACCUGGAGUUUGUUCCUCUUGCAAAAAGGAAGAAGCACCUGAGAAACUUUCCAGAACAGCUGAUAGGGAGGACAAGCAGCUUCUCAAGAAAAUAAAGGAAGCCAUUUGCAAGAUCCCUCCUGCCACUGAGGACGAGUUGGCAGCCUGUCACAGCCCCUCUGCUUGUCAGAACAGCAAUGUUCAGGUGAAAAGCAGUGCAGUCUCUGAUGGUAGCUUUUUAAAUUCUGACUUACCUUCUGACUGGAGCAUCUCUUCUUUUUCCACGUUCACGUCUCGUGAUGAGCAAGACUUCCGAAAUGGCCUUGCAGCACUGGACGCCAACAUUGCCAGACUCCAGAAGUCCUUAAGGACUGGUCUUUUGCAGAAGUAA